GAUGCUGAUCUUCCAGCAAAAGAGGAAUCUACGUCUUCAGUACUUCUCCAUCUGAGUGCAGAAACUCAGCUUCUUCUAAAGGAGAUAUUAUCUGUGAAACAGAUGCAAAAGAAAUGUGAAGCACUAGAGGAGGAGAAGAAGAAGUUGGAGGAAGAAGCAGUUAACCUCAGACGUCACCUCGAAAUGAAUACAGUGUAUCACGUCAAGUGGAGCAGGACAAACGGGAGACUGAAGAGCAAACAAGACGGGAUGUAGUAAAAACACUGAAAAAAUUCAGGCGAGCUGUGCAGUACAGACGGGAAACUGAAGAGCAAGGAAGACAUGAUGUAUUAGAAAAACUGAAAGAAAUCAGCCAGUUUUUACAGGCACAAGCAGCACUUCAAGAAAACGUGUUAAGAGAGUGCAGACGUGCUUCAGUAAGUCAAACGGAACAGAGAGCUAAAGAUCUGGAACCUGAACU